CAGUCAGUAGUUGUGGGAUCACUUAAAGCUAGUUUGAGACCCAGCUUCACAAGCUGUGUGUGGUAUGUUAAUGAUCCCUCUUUCUGGCCUCAGGGUCCACAUGUGCAAAAUGAGAGUUAAUAAAAACAGCUGUCAUAGUGCCAUGUACUCUUCUAAGAGCUACAGGUGCUUACUCAUUUAAUCCUCAUGACAUCCUGAAUAAGUAAGAAUUAUUAUUAUUCCUAUUUCACAGAGGAGAAAACUGAGGUACAGAGAGGUUAAGUAACAUGCUCAAGGUCACACAGCUAGUGUGGAAUCCACUCUAUGCAACCUGGUUACAAGGUCCAAGGUCACGGUUACUGGGCUGUAAUCUUCAUCUCCCUGGGACUGCUGGAAAGUCCUAUGAGGUCAUUUACAUAAGAGAGACUUAGCAAGUACUCCAUAAAUGGUAGUUCAUAGACCAUUGAGCCUGUCUGCAAGGUAGGGAUUAAAGCGUUGAUGGUGAUGCCCAGAGAUAGGAGACUUUGGGUCCAGGAUAGCUGACAAGCCAUGUUACUACCCUGGGUACCAGUUCUGACCUUCAUGAAUCAGAGAGACAAGGGACUCCCCCUUUGUUCCUCUAACCAGACUUCUAUUCAUUAGCAUAUCCCUCAACCAGAACUCACUCUAAAUCCACAGUUAGGCCCCCUCCAUUCCCUGGUAAAUCUCCAGGGCUGGCGUAUUUUACACUCUACCAGACUAAUGCCCCUUUAGGAAUUGAGUUAGCACUUGGGGUAGCAACUGUUACAAACUCCAAGGGAAAUGCAGUCUAUCCCCUACAGCUGUGGGGCUGACAGAAGUAAGAGGUUGGGGGGAGCUUGGAAAAGUCUGGGUCCACUUCCAUUCCCUCUCCUUUCCGCAAUUCAGCAAAAGUCUGCUUACUUGAAAUUCCUCUCCAAAGUUUCACUUCCCAGGCUGGUGUUAGGCCUACUAAGCCCAUAGUGAUCACCACUUUUAGAAACAUCAGCAUUUUAGAAAGAGCAGGUCAGACAUUAUUUGAAGCCCCUGGCGGGCAGGGUGUGUGUUGUUUGUUUUGCUGCAGCAUUUGGAACUGAUAGAUCAUAACUCAGGCCACAUCCUGGGUGUGUGAGACGGAGGUGGGUAACCAACUUACUAAUAACAUACAGGCAGCAGAAGAAAAAUAAUAGGAAGCCCUUUCUCAUAUUUACCAUGUGCCAGGCUCUCAGAUCAUUAGACAUAAUCUGAUAUACCUACUCCUCGCAACAAUUCUGUGAGGAAGAUAUUGUUAACUUCCUAUUUUGCAGAUGAGAAAACUGAGGCACAAAUCGGGGAAGAAACUAGUUCAGCAUAUACAGCUAGCAAGUCAUUCCAAGAGCGGACAGUUAAGAAGAUGCUGAACCAGGAGCUUACAAUCAGCAUUUGACAAAUCUUCACUGAGCCUCUACUGUGUGCCAGGUCCUGGCACAGAAGGUUGCUGAUUCCAGGACAAAUCAGACCUUAUUCCUGACCUCCAGCUGCUUAGUCUCAAGAAGAGGAAAGGAAAAUAAAGAGACAAAUAUAAUACAGUGUGAAAAGUACAACAGUGGUCCAAUUUCAGUUCAUGAACUCAGAGCCAGAAAAGGGAAGUAGCCUUGAGACAAUAUCUUAAGAUAAGACUUCCGGGUAACAGAAAUUAGCAAGAAUGAGAAACAACCCAAGGAGCUUCCCCCACGUCCACCAUCAGAACAGCUAAGCUCAAGACAAGUGACAACAUCAAGUGUUGGCCAGGAUGUGGAGCCCCUGGAACUCUCAUACACACCUGGUGGAGAUGCAGAAUGGUACAGGUAUUUUGGAAAACUGCUUGGCAACUUUAAUAAACAAAGAUCGGCUUGAGGUCCAGAAAUUCCACUCAUAGGUAUGUCUCCGAGAGAAAUGAAAACAUGUCCACAAAAACUGUAUGUAAAUCUUAACAGCUUUAUUCAUAAUAGUCCAAGCCGGAGACAACCUAACUAUCUACUCAAAUAGGAGUUUGAAUAAACAGUGUGGAAAAUCCAUAGUAUGGGAUACCACAUAGUAAUCAAAGUGGAUGAAUGAUUGCUGCCCACAACAACACAGAAGAAAAAAAUCAUUAUGUUGAAUAAGAGAAACCAAAUGCAAAAAAAAAAAAAGGUGAAUAUUAUAUAAUUCUACUUAUGUGAAAUUCAGUAACUGGCAAAACUAAUCUAUGGUUUUACAAGUGGUGACCUCUGGGGGAGAAGGGGGGAACAGGACUGUUUUUGACCUAGAAGGGGCAAUGGAAGCAGGUGUUAGAACAAUUCUACACUUUGAUCUUUGGGAUGGUGACACAGGUGUAUACAAAGGUAAAAUUUUUAAGUUUUUAAAAAAUGUUUAUUUCUUUUUGAUAGAGAGACAGAGAGCGAGCAUAAGCCGGGGAAGGGCAGAGAGAGAGAGGGAGACACAGAAAUCUGAAGCAGGCUCUAGGCUCUGAGCUGUCAGCACAGAGCCCGAUGGAGGGCUUGAACCCAUGAACUAUAAGAUCAUGACCUGAGCCAAAGUCAGAUGCUUAACUCACUGAGCCACUCAGGUGCCCUGUUUUUUUUUUAAAAAAAAUUUUAAUGUUUAUUUAUUUUUGAGAGAGAGAGAGAUACAGCACAGGCAAGCAUAUAGAUAAAAAUUUCAGUAUUUGUACAUUUUACUAUAUGUAAAUCAUACCUCAGUUUUUAAAAUUUCAUUUUAGUUAAAAAACACACAGGCUACUAUUUCAAAAGUAAUAUGCUACCCUCAGCACUAUGAAGAGGUAAGCACAUAGCACUCUGUGGGAACCCAGGAGGGGUAUUAACUACACUGUGUGUGGGGUGGUUGUGGGGAUGCAGAAGUUCCCAAGGAAGCCUUCCUGGGACAAGUGAUGGCUCAACUGAACUUCAAAAGAUUUGAACUGAAGGUGAAGCAGAAGAUGUCAAUAAGGGCAUUCCAGGCACAAGGAACAGCAUGCAAAGGCACUGGGUGAAUUCCAAGAGAAUUUGACUGGGGUGGGGGUGUGGGGGGGGAUGAGCCUGCAGAUGCAUGCAGCAGUCAGACCUGACUGAGCCUUAUAAGCUGAAGGGGAGCUCGAAGAAGGUCCUGAAAAAGUUGUGGUCAGAUUUGGACUUUAGAAAAGCUCUCUAAGGAGGAAGGGAGGACAGUGGUAUAGAGGGAGUUGCAAUAAUCCAAGAGCUGGGGCUAUGUGGUCUGAGUUUUGGCAGGGGUAAAAGGGAUUGGGGUUGAGAGAAGAGCUUCCAGGGGUUGAGGAAAAACGUUUUGGCAACUGGUAAUACUGGGGGGAAGGGGAAAGAGUUAUGGAGACUGUCAGGAUUUUGCCUUUCAUGCUAGGGUGGAGCCAUUUGCUGAGAAAAAGAUCGGAGGAGGUAACAUCUUUAAGUGUUGUAGUGGUUGGCCUGAUGUUGUUUUGCCUGUCCAGCUCCUGUUUCCCCCUUUCUCUUGUGACAGAACCCUGCUUUUCCUGCAAAAACUGAGUUCCUUCCUAACCUCCAGCUGUGCACCUAAAGUGGGGGUGACUCCACUUCUCAGCUGUAGGACAUGUGACCCUGACCAAUCAGCAUGUUUGAGCUCUCUGGUGGAAUGCAGUGAUUGGUUCAGGGAUUGGCCCAUGACCCAGAUUGAUCCAAUGAGAGUUAGCCCUGGAAAUUUUGCUGGAAUUCUUGGGAAACAAUUCUGUCUUUUCUCCUGGGGUUGCUGAGCUGGUGAAAUGGAAGCCUGGUGAUGCUGACAGCCCUCUUUGCCACCAAGAAGGGAAAGCCUGCCUGAGAAUAAAGCCAGCACUUGAGUAAACAGAGCCAAAAGAAAGAGAGCCCUUUUCCUGAUUAUAUUGCUUGGACUCCUAGAUCCAGUCAUGCCUGAAGACUAACCUAUACUUUUCACUUUUGUGAAACAACGGCUUCUCUUCUUGGGGUAAUUCUACUUGAGUUGGGCUUUUUGUCACUUUUAGCUGAAAGAUUUCACAUGACUAUAGGCUCCCCUGAAACGCUUAAUGUAGGUGUAGAGUUUCUGUUAGGGACGAUGUAAAAGUUCUAGAAAUGGGUAGUGGUGAUGAUUGCACAACAUUGUAUAUGUAUUUAACGCCACUAAAUUGUACACUUAAAAGUGACUAAAAUGCUAAAUUUUAUGUUGUGUAUAUUUUACCACAAUAAAAAAGUUAAUAAAAACUUGUUAAAGAAUAUAUUAGAGAGACAAGCAACCCACUCCCACACAAUAGGUAGAGCGCCCUUUUGAUACAUAUUAGAUCAUUCUAUUGAAAAUCGUCCAAAGGCUUUCUACCCCACUUAAAAUGCAGUGCACACAUCUCUCUGAGGUCUGCAAGUGUCCCCAUCAUCUACCCUUGCACCCCUGUGUCCUCAUCUGCUGCCCUCCUCCCUGGGCUCACUAUCCUUCAGCCACUCUAGUCUCCUUGAUGCAGGCAAACACAGCAAUCUCUUGUCCUGGGGCCUCUGCACUCGAUGGUCCCUCUGCCUGGGACCCUCAUCCUCUCUCCCACCCCCCAUAAUCUUUCCAUGGUCACUUCACCAUCAUUCAGUCUGUACUCAGUUCCCACCCUUUGGAGAAGCCUUCCUUAGAUAAAGUAGCGCCCCCCUGCCUAUCACUUCACCCUUUAUGGU